UGGCCGUAAACGAUGUGGACUUGGUGUUGGAAUGGCUCCGAGCUGCUCCAGUGCCGAAGGGAAGCUGUUAAGUCCACCGCCUGGGAAGUACGGUCGCAAGACUGAAACUUAAAGGAAUUGGCGGGGGGAGCACCACAAUGCGUGGAGCCUGCGGUUUAAUUUGGAUUCAACGCCGGACAUCUCACCAGGGGGCGACAGCAGAAUGAUGGCCAGGUUGAUGACCUUGCUUGACAAGCUGAGAGGAGGUGCAUGGCGUGUGACUGU
rnacentral:rRNA from 1 species